rnacentral:rRNA from 1 species
GAACUGUAGAGUUUGAUCCUGGCUCAGAUUGAACGCUGGCGGCAUGCCUUACACAUGCAAGUCGAACGGUAACAGGUUAAGCUGACGAGUGGCGAACGGGUGAGUAAUGUAUCGGAACGUGCCCAGUCGUGGGGGAUAACUGCUCGAAAGAGCAGCUAAUACCGCAUACGACCUGAGGGUGAAAGCGGGGGAUCGCAAGACCUCGCGCGAUUGGAGCGGCCGAUAUCAGAUUAGGUAGUUGGUGAGGUAAAGGCUCACCAAGCCGACGAUCUGUAGCUGGUCUGAGAGGACGACCAGCCACACUGGGACUGAGACACGGCCCAGACUCCUACGGGAGGCAGCAGUGGGGAAUUUUGGACAAUGGGCGCAAGCCU